GUGAGUCAUCGAAUCUUUGAACGCAUAUUGCGCCCUUUGGUAUUCCGAAGGGCAUGCCUGUUCGAGCGUCAUUAUCACCUCUCAAGCCCCCGGGCUUUGGUGUUGGACGGUUUGGUCCCGGUGACGGGACCCCUCCUAAAAUCAAUGACGGCGGCCUGUUCGACCCCCGGUACACUGAGCUUCUUAACUGAGCACGUAUCGGCCUAGACAGGACCCGGUCUUCUUCCUUAACCGGAAAAUCUCUCAAAGGUUGACCUCGGAUCAGGUAGGGAUACCCGCUGAACUUAAGCAUAUCAAUAAGCGGAGGA
rnacentral:misc_RNA from 1 species